GACGAACGCUGGCGGCGUGCUUAACACAUGCAAGUCGAACGAUGAAGUUCCUUCGGGGAUGGAUUAGUGGCGAACGGGUGAGGAACACGUGAAGAAUCUGCCCUCCACUUUGGGAUAACUCCGGGAAACCGGGGCUAAUACCGAAUAUUGAAACAUAAGUGGCAUCACUGAGUUUUGAAAGAAUUUCGGUGGAGGAUGACUUCGCGGCCUAUCAGCUUGUUGGUGAGGUAAUGGCUCACCAAGGCGACGACGGGUAGCCGGCCUGAGAGGGCGACCGGCCACACUGGGACUGAGACACGGCCCAGACUCCUACGGGAGGCAGCAGUGGGGAAUAUUGGGCAAUGGACGAAAGUCUGACCCAGCGACGCCGCGUGCGGGAUGAAGGCCUUCGGGUUGUAAACCGCUUUCAGCAGGGAAGAAGCGAAAGUGACGGUACCYGCAAAAGAAGC
rnacentral:rRNA from 1 species